AUGUUAUUUUGCAUAUGUAAAAAGCAGUAAAAAAACUGUAAAUUUAUAUUUAUUUAUAAAUAUUUAACUAUACGUUUCAUGUUUUUGACAUCUAUUGAACUUAUCUAUUGAACAAAUAUGUAUUCACGAGCAUCAAAUAUUUAUGGAUCAUCGCGAAGUGCUAGGUUGCGUACGAUCUUCGAAGUCAAGCAGUGUCGACAGCGGUUCAGAGUUGGAUGGGUGACCGCAGAAGUUUUAUUAGGCAAUGCCAAAUGUCCUGUUUUGGAUGUCCAAUGAACGUCUGAAGUUGUGAACAACGAGCGUUCAUAGGACGUCCACUGGACGAAUCUUAUUUGGUUACUCAACAGAUGUCCCGAUGUCCAAGCUCGGACGUCCAGUGGACGUUCAAUGAACGUUCAUGUGCUGUCUGGGAAGUGUCACUCUAUCUUGCAAAGCAAUAAAUUUAUCGUUAAAGUUAAAACUAACAGAUAUAUUGUCAAACCUAUUAUUGACAAAAUACAUAGCGAUAUGUUCCCUGUUUUGGAUUCUGCCAAUUAUUCUUACAUCAUUCGAACAACUGUUCUUCUUAAAAUUUAAAAAAACGUAAAGAAUAACUGAAGGAUAAUAUAACUUUAUAAAAGCUGAAGAAAUUUUCACAAGGAUUAGAACAGUAAUCUAAAAAAGAUGGUUGUACAAUACCUUUAAGAGCCACACAGUUACAAUACAAUAUUAAAAUAAAAUUAUAACAUUUGUCAUUAUUCUCUUACCUAGCCUGCCAUAAGAUAAUGACAUACUUGAAGAACUAGGAAGUACCUUUGGAUAAUGAAUUGCUUUUGAUCCUUUUGAUAUGAAUUGCUUUGCCAAUUCUUUAUACAUAUAAUGGUUUGCUGAGCUUAAACAGGGAUGAACUUCAGUGAAUUUUUUAUCAAUAGCAUACACCAGCUUACAAGAAAGAGAAUUUUGGUGUAACAAUUUUUUAAUAAUGUAUUAAUAAAAUUUCUUACUGUUUCUCUUUAAAAUUCGAAUAAUAAAUAUGAUAAUAAUGAUAUGAUAAUCUCAUCAAAUUGCUUGUUCUUUAAAUCUUUUGCAAAGGUUUUCUUGGAACAAGUUAGAUUGUAAUAGAUACUUUUUCACACAAAAAAAUAAACUGUUCACUUCAUCCUAUAA
rnacentral:lncRNA from 1 species